GUUAUAGCUGUCUUCUUCUCUUCCCCAAACCGGUUGGUUAACUGCAUCAAAAUGCCAUUGUUGUUGAUAAUUUUGUCUGUUCCCAUUAACUUGGACUUCUGGCCACGUCAGAGGCAUAACCAUGCUGGGGAAAUUACUGUCCAUUAAAGAUCCACCUUCUGCAGCUAAUGUACUGUCAAGAUUGAAAUCAAUUCUCGGGUUCACUGCUGCAAGUCUCAUUGAUAAGAACUCCACUUGGCGUUGUAGUGACUGUACAU
rnacentral:misc_RNA from 1 species